rnacentral:lncRNA from 1 species
GGAUUUUGGGUGGCGGUUCUUUUCUUUGAGUACUUGAAACACACUGAGCUACCUUUAUAGCUACUCCCCCUCAUCUAUGUGCUCUGAGGAGAAAUCUGCUUUCACUAGAGUUGGUUAUUUCUUAAAGUAAGAUGCUGUCUCUUCGAUGCUUUCAAGAUUUUUAAUUCGUUUUUAGUUUUCACAAGUUUGAAUAUGAUAUACAUGGCAUGGUUUCUUUGGGUUUAUCCUAUUUGAGGUUUGCUCAGCUUCUUGAAUGUGUAGGUUUUUGUCUUUUGCCAAAUUUGUGAAGACUUCAGCUAUUACUUCUUUAAUGUUUUUUCAGUCCCACCUUCUUUCUCCUCUCCCUCAUGGACUCAGAUGACACAAAUGUUAGAUAUUUUGUCAAGGUCCCCCAGGUCCUGGGGUGAUCAUUUUUCAUUCUAUUUUCUCUCCAUUGUCAACACUGAACAAUUUCCAUUCUGUCUUCAAGUUCACUGAAUCUUCCUCUGUCCUCUACGUGUUACUUUUCCUUACGCAUUGAGAUUUUUAUUUUUAUUAUUGUGUUUUUCAGUUCUAUAAUUUCCUUUCGGUUUUUUUUUAGACAUUCUAUUUUUUUGUUGAGAUUUUCUAUUUUUUUCAUCUCAAAUGUGUGAAUUGUAUUUUUAUAGCGUCUUUGUAGCACUGUAGCUUUUUCAUUGUGGCAGCUUUAAAAUCUUUGUCAGAUCAUUCCAACAUCUGUGUCAUGUCAGUGUGAAAAUCUUUUAUUUUUUUUUGUUUCAAUCAUUAAAUGUGAUUUAUACAAUCCAGGAGAAAGAGGACAGUCUGUUAUAACGAUCCAUAUAUUUGCCCUUUCUAUAUUACUUUCUUUCUUCCUUGGGGUGCAAAAUUCCUCCUUUUGUCACUUAUCCCUUUUAAGAACUUCCUUUACCCAGUCUGCAAUGGUAGGUCUAGUAGCAGUAAGUUCUUUUGGUUAUCCUUCUGCUAAGAAUGUCUAACUUCUCCUUCAUUUCUGAAGUAUAGUUGAAUUGGACACAGAAUUCAUGGUUGAUGUAUCUUUUCUUUCAACACUUGAAACACCAUUGUGCUACUUUAUUGUACCCCCACCAUUUCAGAUAAAAAUUCUAGUGUCGUU